rnacentral:rRNA from 1 species
AACGAACGCUGGCGGCAUGCCUAACACAUGCAAGUCGAACGAGACCUUCGGGUAUAGUGGCGCACGGGUGCGUAACGCGUGGGAACCUGCCCUUAGGUUCGGAAUAACUCCCCGAAAGGGGUGCUAAUACCGGAUAAUGUCUUCGGACCAAAGAUUUAUCGCCUUUGGAUGGGCCCGCGUUGGAUUAGCUAGUUGGUAGGGUAAAAGCCUACCAAGGCGACGAUCCAUAGCUGGUCUGAGAGGAUGAUCAGCCACACCGGGACUGAGACACGGCCCAGACUACUGCAGGAGGGAGGAAGGGGGGAUAUUGGAAAAUGGGGGGAAUGCUGAUCCAGCUAUGGCGGGUGAGUGAUUGAAGCCUUAAGGUUGGAAAGCUCUUUUACCCCGGAUGAUAAUGACAGUACCCGGAGAAGAAGCUCCGGCUAACUCCGUG